AUGAGGACCCGCAUGUGCGCGCGCGUCGGCACGCCGCAGGGCGUCGGGGCGCUGCUCCUCGUCGGGGGCGGCAAGGAGGACGACGUUCUGGAUGGCGGGGUCGUGGAGAAGGAGCAACAGAAGUCUGAUCAAUCUGAUGAGAAUCUGGGCAGGGAGGUUAGAGAGGUUGAAGCUGAUGGGUUGGAUGGUAAGGAAGUAGAGGAGCUUCAAGAGAUUCAGGAGCAGGUGGAUGAAAUUCUUGCUGAUGAAUUGGAUAGCAAACCUACAGAUAAUUUGGAUCCAAACGCAAGCCAGGAAAGUGCCGAGAUCAUUAAUGCAAAUGCCACCGAAGGUGUGAAGAAUUCCGAUGAAAGCUUCCUUCCCAUCAAUAGCCCGGAGAUCACCCAUGAAGAACAUAUCGGGCACGGCCAUGGCGGUGAUCAACAGACCUCAUCAACACAGAUGACAGCGCAUCAGUCACAGAUCUCAGAGCAACUGAAAGUGGAUACCAUGACCGAAACAGCAACAGUGGAGAAUGUGUCGAAGCAGAAACCGCCUGCACAAGAGCGGGUCGCGCCCAUCAACUCACCCGCAUGUCCUUCACUGCCAGCUCUGUUUAAACCAGCAGAGAAGAAGAGACCAACGAACACGGGGUGGAAUGAGACAGGGAUGAAGCUUGGACAAGAUGGCGGCAGCAAGAAGGCAGCAGCAAAGGGUGUAGCCGUGGUGACCAUGGAUCAUAGAGCUGCUUCAAUGGCCAUUCUCGCCAUCAUCUUUGCAGUGACCAUUGGAGUAAACGUCGUCGUGCGCUUGUACUCCACUUUGCGAGCGGCAUGA
rnacentral:rRNA from 1 species